UUUGAAACUCACACUUUCGCUUUCGAUUAUUGAAUUUCAAGGGUGUAUACAAUUUAAGGUUCAUGGAAUUAAUCUUAAAGAUAUGUCAUAUGUGUGUCUUUUUUUGCGGAGACGCCCUCAAAACCAAGCGGGAUUUAAAACUGCACGAUGACAGGCACAUCGGCUUGUCCAAAUAUUCAUGUUGUGAGAAGCUAUUUAGUAGAAAAGAGGCCCUGACCAGACACAUGCGAGUAUUUGUUAAGUGCAGUGUGCAUUGGAACACGCGACAACAUGUGUUGUUCAGAAUUUGCCACCAAAACAGAUUUGACAAAACACCGAAGAAGAGAGGAACCAGCCGUAAGAUACAAGUGUAAUGUGUGGCGCUGGAUUGAGAGAAAGGUUGGACUUACAGGCACAUUCAUAGUGAUGAAAAAAGGCAAACAUGUGACAAAUGUGGGGAGUCGUACAGACACAGAAGUAGUCUUUUGAAACACAAGGACAAAUAAUGCCAAUUAAAUUUGCAUAUUAUUUAAAUUAGAUCAAGAUGUUGCACGCUAUUUUUGUUAUUUAGUUCCGUUAUGUUUUCAAGUAUUAUUUUCCAUUGUUACCGGUAUUACAUUUUACAGUUAAUAUGAUCUCACCUUGUUUUGUUUUUUUUCCUUCCAAAAGAGGAUGUAUAUUGUUUAUCUAUCCGAAGGCGGAGGGACACUAUUUUAGCGUUGUCCGUCCGUUCUUCCGUCAAACUUUCCCGCCAAGAGAUGUUUUACAACCGUUGUAUUAAAUUUCAUGAACCUAAUAUAAAGUGUAUCAUCAUACAGAGGUGGUAAAUGCUAGAUUAUGUCAGAUUCGACUUGAUAAUUCCAGGUUUGCCCCCCCCCCCCUUAAAUAAUCAAUCAUAUCCGGUACGGAUGUCAAUCUUUUGAAUUUGUGUUAAUAUUUUCGUUAUCUCAGAUUUUUAAUAUAACCGGUUGGUGGAAUGAACAGUAUUUUUCUGUAAUAAUUGAACAUUACCAUGGUUCGAAUAUGUGUGUUUACCCCAAUAUCGCAAUGCAUUCAUACAUAUCAGUCAUGUGCCACUUUUUUAAUCGCUUUGGCAGAUCAUUCAUUUGUUUUACUUUACAUAGAAGUUCGGAUGCAUUGUACUUUUUUAUUCUUGUUCAACGCAAUUGUUCGUUGAUCCUAAAACCCUUUAAACAUCGAAGGCGAUGAAUUCACUUGAGCGAUUAUUUAGUCAAAUGAUUGAAUGGUGCUUCGCAAUCUAAAUGUCUUUUUUUUCGGAUUGAAAAAACCAACAAACAAAAAAACAAGUUUUGACUCGAAAGCCAAGUUCCAUGUUUUUUUUUCUUUUUGAAAUUAUCUUCCACUAUUCAUGUCGUUUUGUGAUUUUAUUCAUUCUGAUGAUGUUAUUUGUUUCUAAAUUUUAUUUCAAAAUUAUGAUGUCAUAUUUCACUAAUAAUCUUGUGAUUCCAUGUUUAAAUAUAUUGCUUUUUCUGUAGUUUAUUUUUAUUACUCAUUAAUGUACACUAAUUUCAAGACAAAUUGUGUAGCAAUCAUCAUACUUAGAAAGUAGUUUGCUUUCCUAUUUAAUGCUACCUUCUGAUUUUAUUGCUGCAUUACGGUUUAUUCGGAGAGCUACAAUCAAGUAUUAUGUGUGCUCGCUUGCGUGCGCGUGUGUGGAAA